rnacentral:rRNA from 1 species
CCUACGGGAGGCAGCAGUGAGGAAUAUUGGUCAAUGGACGGAAGUCUGAACCAGCCAUGCCGCGUGCAGGAAGACGGCUCUAUGAGUUGUAAACUGCUUUUGUACAAGAGUAAACCUGAAUACGUGUAUUCCGCUGAAAGUACUGUACGAAUAAGGAUCGGCUAACUCCGUGCCAGCAGCCGCGGUAAUACGGAGGAUCCAAGCGUUAUCCGGAAUUAUUGGGUUUAAAGGGUGCGUAGGCGGAUUUAUAAGUUAGACGUGAAAUGCCCGAGCUUAACUCGGGAACUGCCUCUAAUACUGUUGAUCUAGAGAGUAGAAGAGGAAGGCGGAAUGUAAGGUGUAGCGGUGAAAUGCUUAGAGAUCAGACAGAACACCGAUUGCGAAGGCAGCUUACCAAGCUAUAUCUGACGUUGAGGCACGAAAGCGUGGGGAGCAAACAGGAUUAGAUACCCCUGUAGUC